GACGAACGCUGGCGGCGUGCCUAAUACAUGCAAGUUGAGCGCUGAAGGUUGGUACUUGUACCGACUGGAUGAGCAGCGAACGGGUGAGUAACGCGUGGGGAAUCUGCCUUUGAGCGGGGGACAACAUUUGGAAACGAAUGCUAAUACCGCAUAAAAACUUUAAACACAAGUUUUAAGUUUGAAAGAUGCAAUUGCAUCACUCAAAGAUGAUCCCGCGUUGUAUUAGCUAGUUGGUGAGGUAAAGGCUCACCAAGGCGAUGAUACAUAGCCGACCUGAGAGGGUGAUCGGCCACAUUGGAACUGAGACACGGCCCAAACUCCUACGGGAGGCAGCAGUAGGGAAUCUUCGGCAAUGGACGAAAGUCUGACCUAGCAACGCCGCGUGAGUGAAGAAGGUUUUCGGAUCGUAAAACUCUGUUGGUAGGGAAGAACGUUGGUGAGAGUGGAAAGCUCAUCAAGUGACGGUAACUACCCAGAAAGGAACGGCUAACUACGU
rnacentral:rRNA from 1 species